UGGCAACAGAGCACAGAACGCAACAACGGCAGCAGCAGAUUGACAUCAGUGAAUGUGACCUUGAAGACUGUAGUCCAAUUCCUUCGCCCUGCAGUAAGAAAGCCAAGGCUUGGCUUGCAUAUGGCAAAACUUGCUUGUGGUCCCACGGGAGCUGGAGGCAAGGCCAGACCCAGAACACACAUCUCCUGCACCCCGUGCCAGGCCUGCUCGGCUGAGCUGGGCACUGCCUCACCUGCAUGCUCAGUCUGCCCGGCCCCGUUGAGGAGCACAGGGAAGACACUGACCCUUCUUCUGCAGUGUCUCAGCCGUGCUGCUUCUUUGGUGGCCACUCAGCAUAGGCAUGGCUGCUGUCCAGAUUGAAGCAUGGCAGGUCCCCAGACAGCAGCACUAAAUGAGGCCCUCCUGCCAUGGAUCCUGAUGUAGAGCUGGCCAGCUUUCCCAAGAAACCAGCUUCUAGUGGACACAUGACUUCAAGAUGGAAGAAAUGAGUUUCAAACUUCUUGUUGCUUUUCUGACUGUGCUGGGUAGAUGUGGCAGGACUCACACUGAUGGGAGAUGUUUUAUUUGUCACCUAAUGCUAAUGUGUCAUUCUUGCAGCUGUGGUUAUUACCUACUAUUAAAUUCUCUGAUGGCUAAA